UUCCUGACUUUCCCAUCGUUCGGGGCAUUCUGGGGCUGUUUUGGCUAUUGGUUGCUUGUUUGGUCUUGAGCUGAACGGGUGGCUUAUAGUNUGGUGGCUUCGGGGAUGUUGACCGUAAAGGUGGAUGAGUGGUGUUUGGUUUGUUACGUGUGGUUGGCUGCGGCGUUUGCAACAACUUCCAUGCUUUCAGACCUCUUCAGUUGUGCGGCAGGGCUUGUAUCGCCUUGAGCGUAUUGUGGGUUUUCUGUGUUGGCUACCUAAUCAACGGUAUCGGUUGGAUUGAUCAAAGUUUGAUUUCGUCUUCCGUCGCAUUCGCGGCGUGAGGUGAACCUCGAUGCGGUCUCUUUGAUCCACCUCGNCGAAGCACAUGCUUUGACGUUGUGGCCCAUUGAGCAUUGCUUGGUCUCUUGUAUACGGAACAUAUAGUGGGCAUGGAUCUAACGAUUCUCGUUUGCCCUCAUAUUAGCGUAACGCUUNUCUUACACGACUUGCUCCACGUUUUAG
rnacentral:misc_RNA from 1 species